rnacentral:rRNA from 1 species
CGGCAACAGCUCAAAUUUGAAAUCUGGCCUCUCGGGGUCCGAGUUGUAAUUUGUAGAGGAUGUUUUGGGUACCGCCCCGGUUUAAAUUUCUUGGAACAGAAUGUCAGAGAGGGUGAGAAUCCCGUCUUUGACACGG